rnacentral:lncRNA from 1 species
ACAAACCUCCAACUGAGCUUUAGCAUAUUUUCCUCCAAACUCAAACUCGCCUCGGGAAAGUUUGAGUUUUUUUCAAAGUUUUAUCGAAAUUCGAAUUUUUUAAGUAGAGAUUGAAGUAUGUUAGAGUAAUUCCAAGAGGCUGCUAAUCUUACCCCAAUACCUUUUUUACGAAAAAAAAGAAAAAACGAACUCCAACAGUCCAAACCUUCCCCAAUUUUUUCGUGAUGCUAAAAAACACACUGCCACCAUGUAUAUUUUAGCGUUGGUGUUUCUCCCCCAAUUCCGAUUCCCGUGCGCGAGCUGCCCUCUCCCCCACGCGAGCACCCUUCCCC